rnacentral:tRNA from 1 species
GUCAGGUUGGCCGAGCGCUCUAAGACGCCAGACUUAAGUUUUGGUUCUCGAAAGAGAGCGUGGGUUCGAACCCCACACCUGACA